UACGGGGGGAGCAAGCGUUGUUCGGAUUUACUGGGCGUAAAGGGCGCGUAGGCGGCCACUGCAAGUCGGUUGUGAAAUCUCCGGGCUUAACCCGGAAAGGUCAAUCGAUACUGCAGGGCUAGAGUGCAGAAGGGGCAACUGGAAUUCUUGGUGUAGCGGUGAAAUGCGCAGAUAUCAGGAGGAACACCGGUGGCGAAGGCGGAUCUCUGGGCCUUACCUGACGCUCAGGCGCGAAAGCUAGGGGAGCGAACAGG
rnacentral:rRNA from 1 species